AUUAAAAUUAAUUUGUUAGUUUUCUAUAUUUACAUGUAUUUCUUUUGCUUCAGUUCAACAUUAUUUUCAAAUAGUUCCACUUUGUAAUGGUGUGUUAUAAUAGUCAUAAUAAUAAUAUAAGCAAACAGGUUUACAUGGCACUCGAACAUGGUCUUUUCAGCGAGUAUGUAAAGGUAAGUUUAUACUUCAAAAAGGUCUGUUUUAACCUGACAAGAAUGCUGUUCAAAAUUAACUAAAAAUGAAAUUUCAUAUGUUCAAUCAACAACAGCUACUACUGUAUAUGUCUUUUGAUGUUUGUGUUUGGUUUGCUCAUAUUGAGACUAGAAAUUGAUGAAAAUGCAAUAUGAUAUUUUGUUUGUUGAGAGGGAUUCUAAGGAUUGUAUGGAAACUGAUUGUUCCUUGUGACGACUUGAGCAAAACUGUUUGUCUACUUUUGAAAUAACAAAGUAUACCAAAAACUUUUUUCCUGUUUUUUCAUUAUGCAAAGCCAUAAGCUCUUUUCCAAUUGAAAAUUUCUGUUUGGUUUUGACCAAAAUAAGUAAAAGUGUAAAAAGAAUAAGAAAAUAUUUUAUGAACAUUUGAAAGUUUGGUUCAACCAUAUUUUGUGUGUUUCUGUACAUCGCUACAUGUUUUGCGUCAGAAAAAUUUCCCGAAGCAUUUUUUGUAAAUGAUAUAAAUGUCAAAUGAUAUAAAACAGGACAAUUUUUUCCCUAAGUGAACUUUAGGAGAUGUUUGUUUGUAAAAUAGUGGAUCAAUGUGUAUUAUCUUGUUGUAUUUAUCGAUAGGACGAGAAAUGUACCAGUUUAAGCAAAGCAAAUUGAAACUGAAUUUUUGUUUGAAAAAUCAAUCAGAAUUGGAGAAAUAACAUUCUUUUAAAAUUUUGUUGUGAAACUGUAUUUUCAUCACUUUAAUUAGUAUUAACAUUAUAUAUAAUCAAUUCAAAGCUGUCAGGUUAAAAACGACUCUCAAAGAUAUAUGGCUCCGAAAGACCAGGAUAAUUUCAAAUUCUUAAAUAUUUCCUGGUUUGGCACUUGAAAGAAAUGUUCUUAUAUAUUAAUGUUCAAUUGAGUAUGGAACCAAUGAUCUAGUCGUAAUGUUUCGAUGUUUAAAAAUAUCAUUUCUGAGUUUAAUGAAGUAUGUUGUUAAAGAUGCGGUACAGUCCGAUCUUUGCAUGUGCACAAAGGAGCCCUCUUUUUAUUUACAAACCGUUUAUUUAGGUUUUUAUUUCAUUUUGUUCUUGCAAAGCUUGAUUGUUGUCUCUUGAUAAUUUAUUAUACUCUAGAAACAUGAAAAUAUAAAUAGUUGUCGAAUAAAAUUCAAUAUUUUGGAUAGCGAAAUGUAAACAAAGCCUUUGUUUACAUACGGACUGUACCGCAUCUUUAAUGCAUUGUGAAAAUGUUAAGGCACUUUGAGGAAAUUAAUUUGCUAAUUCAAGCAAUAGAAUUUGUUGACAACUGAUCUCGCAUUACAACGAAUGGACUUCUCUUAGCAUCUAAACAUCGCGAUGAUUUUCAUACUCAAGUGAACAUUUUGGUCACUUUACCAAAAACAAUUAGUUGUAUUAAAAAAAAGUAAAAGCAUGUUCGAUUGACUUUGUCUUUGAGCCAUAUAUUUUCCUUGUAAAACAACCUGGUGCGACGCUUUGGAUUUGUCGGUCAAAUUCGAAAAAAUUAUCAUUAGAGUUGUUUUACAAUAUUUAUUUUGAAGUAUAAACAUUUAUCUUGAAAAGACCAGGUUCUCUUGUUUCCUCAAGAAUUAACUUUUUAAUGUUAAUUUGCGGGCAAACAAGUUUUUUUAAUGUUGUGUUUUCACUUGUGCUUAUUCACUUGUGUUGAACACAAUGUUAGUUGUUCUCUUUGUGCCAUGUUCUGUUUUCUUCUAUUGUUAUUUAAAUACGUAUGCAGUGGUUGUUCUCUUUUUAUUGUUAUUCAAUUUGUAAUUACAUUCUUUUCAAUAAAUUGUUCAUUAAUUAUACAAGAGACUCCUUUUUAAUUAAAUAUUCAAUUCCCAUGGGAAUUGAAAAAAAAAAUAAAAAAAAUUUUCCCCACCCCGGCCGGCUCCCCAAGUGCCACCUCUACUUCUAGCAGAAGUACUUCUACUAUAUAGUAAAAGUACUUCUACUUAAAGUAGAGGUAGCACUCGGAGAGCCAGCCGGGGUAGCGAGGCGAAGAGAAGACCAACCUUGCAAAUGCAAAAUAAUGCAAAUUGCUAAGUCGAUCUUCUCUUGAGAGCAGCCACGCGCAUACCUGGCAAAUAAUGUAAAACAACAAGCAAUUAGUAACAAAUACUCGACAUGCAAAUUUUGAAUCCCAUGGCCGAAAUGACAAGUGCCCCCCACUGAUUCCUACCAACUGCCUACCUGCCUCAAUCCUAAGCUGUCUGCCUCAGUCCUAAGCUGUCUGCCUCAGUCCUAAGCUGUCUGCCUUGGUCCUAAGCUGCCUGCAUUCCAUUCGUAACUUCCGCUUUCCUCACAUCACACAGACACUCACAACUGCCCAACCUGCCACCAGCCCGAACUGCCCACCCUUAAAACUGAAGGAAUUAAAAUUUUGGCAAAGUAUACAUAAUUAAUUUAAUUUAAUCGGAUAUUUUAGGGCAAACGUAAACAGAUAAAUUAAAAGGUUGACAAAUCAGACGAAAGACCGCGUAUACAAACAGGUGAGUUUCUUACUUGCUUUUAUAUACAUGAAUAUACGAAACCUCAAAAUCCGGAUUUUUCCUUUUAUAUGCUUUACUAGCAGGCUAUAAUUUUUGUUUAAAUAACGAAACUCAACACAUUUUGCAGAUGUUAGGAAAUUAGUCAUUUGUCAAUGUUCAGAAAAAAAUAUUUUCUCUUUAAAUAUGCUCUCAAAAUUUUAAUUCCUUUAGUUUAGCCUAACCCCAUGCAUCCUAUACACACGGCGCACACUCUCGCACUCCAUACAUUUAGCUAAUAAAUUAC